UCUUUAGAGGCAGUAGAGUAAAUCGAUGGAAGUCAAAGGUAUAGGUGACACGAAAGGGUCAGAUGUCUCCGACCUUGCGGGAGAAGAAAAAUAUUUGUGUUGUGAAAUAAUUGAACGAUAAAACAAUUGAUGGAGAUUCCGGGCGUUUUUCAACGUAAUUGCGGAUGUCAGGUUGUUAGAGAUGAUAUCGAACUGGGUGGAGCUGCCCUCCGGGACGUAGAUCAUGUCCUAAGUAUGUGCCAGAUCAUGUAAUGGUUCAAUAACCAUCACAUCUGCUGAACAAACUGGAGAACAUCAACGGCAUCAAGUCUUUCACGACAAGAAAAUUAAUUGACCACCAUUUUAUAGAGGAAGUGUGCCAAUUUUUAAAGAAUUGUGAAUAACAAGUGUAGCAUACAUUCGGUUGAACAGGAGAAAAUAAAUGUAUAUAAGAAGUAAAUAUGUAACACAAUGACAGGAGAAUCUCCCACAUUAUGAGAUCCAUCAGUAUGAAUAAAUAAAUAACAAAAUAAAUGAUAUAUUUAUUUAAAUAUUAAUUUAAUUUAGAUAAUCUUGAUUAUUUAGGAUUUCUUUUCCAGUUGUACUCUUGCAAUUGAUUGAAAAAAUUGUCAACUGAAAAUAUUCAAAAGCAGCAUAUCCAGUCGGUAAAAUACCGACGGGAGGGUACAGCUACUAUAAUAGUUUUAUUUUAAUUUUGCAGUGAGUCUUAUCUUCUGACAAAAAUUAAACGUCUGUUUUACGUCCCUGAUUGACAUCAAUGGAAAGUAUAGGAUGAUCCAGAUGAAGAAGAGAAUCAUCAACGCUGCCAUGGUUCUGGAACGGAAGCUAUCCCAACCGACUAGAGUUUGACGUGGUCUCAUCGACGGGUCGUCAGAAAAUUCUGACUGAAAAACAAUUACCCAGUUGUAGUUUAUCUAACAAUUUUGAAGACUACAAAUGGGUGGAAUAAUUUUCAAAAGAGAAGAUUAUCAGAUAUUUCAUUACUUCAUCAUCGAAAAAUAGUACAGCAUUUUUCUUUUGCAUUUCCACACUUUCAUCUUCACUUUUUGCUGGUUUUGGAGAUUUCUGAAUGUUGGGAGAAAUGUUCGAAGGGCCCGGUUGAGAAAUUGGAUGGGUUUUGUGAACGUCGAUGAAUGUCGAGGACUCUUGAAAUUUUCUCCGGGGAUUUUCGUGAAUUUUUUUAACAUGGGUUUCCACGAUGGUGUCUAGAUUAAAAUCAAACCUCAUUUGAUUAAUCAGACUCUCGUCCCUCGAUUAAUUAAUUAAUUGGCGACACAUUUGUCUGUCUCAUAUCUUUGUAUUUCAUUUUAUGGAAAAAUACAUACCGCUAUUAUUGCUGUGCAAUUGCGGAAUUCUGUCACCUCAUUAAUUCUCUUAAAUCUUAAACUAAUGAUUCCGGUUACAUUUCAAAUUAAUGCACUUAACCAGUACAUGAUGAAUGUCACAAUCAAACGAGAUUAAUUAACCUGGCAAUUGUUUUCAUGUGACUGUAGUCGAGGGAAUGGAAUUUUAAAUAUAUUAUAAUAAAGAAGACUAUUCGUAACAAAAAAUAGAAUAUUAAAAAAUAGAACAA